ACCGGAAGGAAGGGCGGCCCGCGCGCCCCGAUGCUUCUUGGGGGAUGCAGGCGGCCCCUAUCGGGAAAGGGAGGGGUGAGGGCGCCCCCCCGCCGCCGGGAGCCGGCUCUGAUUGGCGGUGGCGUUUCGGCGGGCUUUUGUUCUCCGCCGGCGCUGUUACCAUGGCGCGGGCGGUUGGUGGCGGCUGGGGGUGAUGGCACCCAGGAAGGGCUGUGCCUGGCGGCGCUUCCUGCCUGCCCGCCCUCAGCCGCGGGCAGCGGGGGCUGUCCCGUGGCGCUGCUUCCUGCGGGCCUCGUGCGGGCGGCAGUGUCGCCCUUGGCCCCUCAAUAGAAACAAAAUCAUCCCUGUAAAUCCGUGUUUGAAACACUGGCCCCGGACGCCUACCAACAUAUGAUAAAUAUUCCCUGAAACCUUGUUUACAAAAAUACGAAUCCCCAUUGUCUCCUUUAAAACAUGUCCCGUCUCACACAUUCAUUAACAUCUUCAGGGUUCUGAAGGGAGAAGCGCCGUCGCCACCCACCAACACGGCCCUGCUGCCUGUAUUUACAGUGUCAUCCAUCCAAAUGCAUUCUGACAGCGCAGCAGAGAGGAGCAGCUGCAGCGCCCGCUCCCGGCUCCACCCUGCUUGGCAGAUGAAGCAUUUCCUGCCCCACGUUUCAGUAUUUCAUCCGUAAAAUGGCACUAAUGAAUUUGAAAUACUUGGAGUAUUUUGAGUUCCGCUGGCAAAAAAUGCAUGGUAAAACGACAUGUCGUUUUCAUCUGUCAUUUCCUGUCACUGUAACUUAAUGCGGGCUCGGCCAACGGAGAGGGAAAUUGAGACAGGGGCACUGUUUCAUUAAAUAUUAAAUAAAUGGGAUUCAAGUGGUUUAUUCUGGUUCAAGAGCCCGUAAAGCAAAACAAAAAAAAAGCAAAGCUGUGCUCUGCCAUACUGAGCAAACGACUCAUUUGGAAGAACACACUUAAAAAAACCUGAGUUAUGUACUUCUUAGGUAAUUCCUGGAGCUCAGAGCACAGAUAUACCAUAUUCGUUGCCUUAAUUCCUUCUCUGAAUGUUUUUCUUCUAAAUACAGUCCUGUACUUGGUGAAAGUAGGCAGCUCAUUAGUUAACUCUGUUAUUGUUCCCGAGCAAGAGAGCAAAUUUGCUUGUGGUAAAUGAAACUCAGAAUAAUGACAGUGAAUUGCAAAGCGGCUGCCACUCUAAAGCCCUCAGCUGAUGUUUUCUCUGCUAGAGAAGGGGACUGGCUGAACACUGAUGCUGGCCAUGAGCAAAGCUGGGCUACAGUCAGCCCCAGCGCAGUGCCUGUGACGAUCGGUGUGAUGCUGGCUCUACUCCAUAUCUGUUUGGUUUGGUUUUGUUGUUGUUGUUGUUUUCCCUGAAAGGCAUCAUUGUAAUGUGUCCUUGCAUGGUAACGCCUCACCCUGCUCAUCCUGCACUGGUCACGAUGCUCCAGCAAUCAUGCAAAAGAUUGACACAACUACAUGGCACUCUAGGAACAGCCAAAAGGCAAAUUGUGAUUCAGAAUAAAACUACCCUAGGGUAAGGAAGAGCCUGUACAUUUUUCUUACAGGAUAUGCCUUAUUUCAGCAAGCCUUUAAACUGCUUCAUCUCCACUGGCGAAAACAGCUGCUGCCUUCAGUGCUUCCCUGGAUGGCUGCAACCCUGUGACACCAGUGCUAUGCAGGGCCUGGGGGUAGGGGCCUGGCGUUACUAUUUCCCUGGCCCCCAGUGAACCUUUGCCUGCUCAUUCUGUUUGCAUUUCCUUACAGGUCUUCCCUAUCUCAUGCUCAUCGCGUGCUCUGGCAGCGUGCCGAGGGGUGGUGCUCACUGCAACAGCCAGCGUGAUGGCUGAUGGCAGUGCCAUGGGGUCAUCAAAGCCGGCUCCCUCUGGACACACAGUGUGGGGAGGUAACUGUGGCAUUCAAGCGGCCAACCUGAUUGUCAUGUUCCUCCCUCCUGGGCAAUGUGGUCCCUGAGUCACUGCCGGGCCAUCUCAGUGGCAGGCUGCUGUCUGAACAUGACCGAGCUCCAUCCUCCCAGUCCCAACACAUGCAAGAAGAGUAAAUGAAAUACAAAGAACAGAGAGGCAGAAAUGAAUGAGUUCUGGCCCAAAUUGUAAACUCCCUCAGUGUGGAAGACUCAAGGAGAGAAGCAAGAGUGGCAGAGCAGUGAGGAUAAAAGACGGUAGCAGAAGUGAUAUCUUCCUGUACAGACAGAACAGCCACAACUGUUAAUGGGAUUCCACAAGAAAACUGUAUGAUGUCUUAGAGGCUUCCCAGUGCCUUCCCGGCCACUGCUGAGAGCUCCCUACACAUACUGUCUGUUGGGAAGGAAAAAUCAAAAGGAGGCUCUCUCUUCAGUGUAAAGAACAAAUUGCUUUAAAAGACACGUUGCCAUGUGUGUGCCGGUGGGCAGCCCUGUUCUCUGCCAGUGCACAACAGAACUGGCAUCACUACAGCUGGAGGACUUGUGUAAGACCUUCAUGCCUAUGGUGGCCUGCAGAUGCACGGCCCUGCCUCGCUGGUCGUAAGGCCCUGGUCUAAGCGACUGUGGCAUUGCGAGCUGAAACUGCACCUGUGAGGAACUGGCCUCCCAUCACAUCGCAUCACAUCAAAGAAGAGCUGCGGGCGCUCUCUUGCUGCGCUCCUCAGAGCUGAGGCAAUGCUCAGAGAUCAGUGCUUAAGUAGGGUGUAUUCCUUCUAGGGGUGGUUGUGGUGGAGAGGCAUGGCUGCAGAGCGCUACAUCUGUUCAUGCGGAAAUGGAAAGAAUGCUUUGGCUUUCCUACUUACAAGCAAAUGCUGGCUGUUUAUAGAGGACAGGUGGCAAAGUCCAAAUUAACAAAUAGACAGAAAGCAUUAUGAUGGCAAACAAAUGAAAUAAAACCAAAUAACUUUCUUAGCACAUGUCCCCUGUACACUCCAGCCACUUUUCCAGGCUUUAACACAAUAUCUAGUGGUUAAAUACCUUGACAGUUUUCUCUGGAAAAGGGAGGAGGACUUUUUUAUCACAAGGCGAGAACCCACGAACCGUUUCCCCAUGUGACUCACUGUGAAGGCAUGCCAAUUCUGGCUACUCACACUUAAAUUUUCCAGAGUCCACUCACUCAAGAGAAGACCGAGGCCUAUUUCUGCUAGCUUUAACCCUGCCUUGGUUUCCAUUUUAUGGCUGCUCACCUGUGUGAGGAAGAAAUAAAGAAAGUGCUUCUCCCAGCUCACAGAGGCUGAAUUCCUAACCCUACUGUUUGUUCCCCUGUUCUUUCUUUGAGGAAAUGCUAUGAGUAGGUCAUGACCUUUUGUAUCCUAAUGCAAAAAAUAGAUUUCAACUGUCAUUUAAACAGAGCUAAGAAGAGGGAAUGGUAACCGUGCAGGAGAGGUCUGACAAUGGGUAAUUCAACAGGAAGGCACGAGCAUGCUGUGAUCAUUGUAUUAUACAGUGGGUUUUUAUCACUUAUUCUGGGAUUUACAACGGCUGAUCAUGAUUCUUUUUGUCCCUUCUGGUAUGUGUCCUGAUGGCCACAGAAAUCUGUUUUGCUUAUCUUUGAGGCUGGUUAUAUUUAGACUUCAGAGCUGGCAUGCUCAUGACAUGGCCCAGUCCCAAAGCCACCAGCUAUCUGUACUGGAACUGGGGCUGGGACAGACUGCAUGCCUGAUGGUCUGUGCAUCCAUCAGUCCUUUUGUGUGGAGUCUAAGUGCCUACACUGCCCUGGCAAGGAGUCAGGGCAUGGCCAGGAUACAUUUGUGGACCAAAGUUCGUGCACAUCUGGGACCCAUGGUUUAGAUGUAGCCAAAGCCUAACUUUGAGGAGAGGGGUUACCUUGGAUGGGAGCAAUAUUAUAGUAACAUCUGCCCACUGUCUGCUGCACAAGACGUCUCUCAGAGCAUGCCAUCCAGCGAACUUCAUUUCAUAGAGUUUCUUCUAGAAACUACUUCAUCUGACUGUAGUUAAUGUAGUUAAACAAAAGCUAAAUGAAAAUGAAUGCCCAUAUAAGCAGCUGGCUCUGGACAACCCUGUGACAGAUACUUGAGAAGUGCCCGUUAGUUACAGGAAAGUAUUUCUCCUUGAGAUGUUCUGCGUAUGUGUCAGCUGAUGAAAAUCCUGCCUGUAUUUCUGUAGCCACAGGUGAUUAGGAAUUGCUCCCACAGCGUAAUUCAAACCUACCAGGCUUCUCCCAGGGCACGUCGGGUGAGCAGAGAGAGACCUUUGUGUGUUUGAUUGUAUACGACUGAACAAGAUCUGCUUCACUUGUGCUUUAUCAGGGCUAUAAAACUUGGGUCUGUGUAGACAGCAUAAGGUAAACUUAAACUACAAGUCAGGUUCCACGUUGCUGUUUCCUGAAUUGCGAAAGACAGCAGUCUCUCACUUACACUGAGCUCUGGGUAGGCACGGACUUCUUGGAGACAAACAGGAACCUCCAAACAAUGCAAGUGGCUGAGGCUCCAGUGGUGUUCAAAGAACAGUCUUCCCUCUUCAAGGCUCCUGCUGUGCCCCCAGACCACCACUAUGCAUCAGAAAAAGGAGGUAUUCUGUUCUUUGUUUUAUAUAGGAGACUGGAGAUUACAAUGCAGAGAAAUGAAGUAACUUGAAGACUACAAAACAGGUCAUUGGCAGAGCUCAGAAUGAAGCUUAGCUCCCCUUCUCCACAUGCCCUUACAACUUUGUGUACCUAACAAGACACAGCUUCAAACCCAUCGUUUUUGAACUUUCACAGUAAAGAAGCAGUUCUUCUA